AUUGUGCAAUAAUGCAGCAACAUUCAAGAUGUCAAUAUUCCCAAAGUGUAAGUACAUGUACUAAGAGUUAAAGGUGAUUUAAUUAUAAAAAUAGGAAGAUGGUGCAAGAGGUAAUUUACUGAAUAAUUUUUUUAAACUAUGACUGUACAUUGCAAACACAUGAGUAAUAGCAAUAAGCCAUUUUUCAAACCAAAAGAGGCAUAUUGAUAAUUAUGUCUUGUCAUUUUACUGACUGCUUUUGUUUCUAGUUUUCAUUUUUUCAUCUGUAUGGGAUUCAUACUUAUGUGUCAUUUGUGUUAUCAUUGGCUUUUCAGUUCAGGAUGAUAAACAGGAAGUAAAUUCAUUAAUUUUCAGAAUGGUUACUUUGUGUAAACAAUAUAAAACACUGCCAUGAAUUUGUACCAGUCCUUUGGAUAUUAACCGUUGGUUGGGAUCAGCCCUGAAUGACAAGUAGCAUGGAAGAUGACUUAGCUGGUACAGUGGACUUAGGUUGAGACUUGACAUCCACACAAUGUCAAGGGUCCCGAAACCACACGUGGCCAAUCACGGCAACGAAUGACAUUGUGAGGAUGGAGACUUGAAUGAUCGGCAGUAAACAAACAGAUAGCUGUCAGGAUAUAUAUGAAUUUGUAGUUAAAGUCCUGACCAUUUUAUUUGUAAGACAUAACGUUACUGAAGAUAAAAGAGAUUUACCGCGUCAGUCGUCCUAAAGAGACAUCGCGCAGCCGGUAGUAUAAACUUUUGUGAGGUCCUGUAGUGGGAAAAUCCCUAUCUUUUGAGGACAGUGCGUUGUCCCGUGAGCGAGAUGGCGCUAGUUCAGUGAAGAAGCCAGACGGGAUGGCAAUACUGGACGAGAGCAGAGGGGGGUACCGUGUGUUUGUGGGAGACCUUGGCAGUCGUGUGGGAAAAUAUGAGCUGGAGAGAGAGUUCCAGCAUUUUGGUCCUAUAUUGGACGUUUGGGUGGCCAGAAAUCCACCAGGAUUUGCAUUUCUGGUUUACAAGUAUGGGGAAGAUGCCGAAGAAGCCGUCAAGAAACUUCAUGGAAACUUGGUUUGUGGGCGUCGUGUGCGAGUAGAACACGCUGUCCCUUAUGGAGAGCAGACCACUGUCAAAUACAGCUCCCGAUCAGAGAGAAAUAGAUCGUCUAGAAGGUCACGUUCAAGGUCAAGAUCUCCAAGGCGACAAAGAUCUCCAGCAUCUCCAUCUUCUAGAAGAAAGACAAGGUCAUGCUCAAGAGACAGAAGGUCAAGAUCACAAAAUACAGAUGGAUCUAGAUUAAGGAAGAGAAACAGAACUAGGUCAAGGUCACAGUCAAGGAAGAGAGACAGAUCUAGAUCCAGAUCCAGGAAAAGGGAAAGAUCUGGAUCAAGAAAGAGAGACAGAUCUGGAUCAAGAAAGAGAGACAGAUCAGGAUCAAGGAAGAGAGAAAGAUCAGGAUCAAGGAAGAAAGACAGAUCUGGAUCAAGAAAGAGAGACAGAUCUGGAUCAAGGAAGAGAGAAAGAUCUAGAUCAAGGAAGAGAGACAGAUCAGGAUCAAGAAAGAGAGACAGAUCAGGAUCAAGAAAGAGAGACAGAUCAGGAUCAAGAAAGAGAGACAGAUCAGGAUCAAGAAAGAGAGACAGAUCCAGAUCAAAAAGGAGAGACAGAUCCAGAUCAAGAAAGGGAGACAGAUCUGGGUCAAGAUCAAGAAAAUGUGAUAGGUCAAGGUCAAGACAAAAGAAUAGAUCAAGGUCAAAAAGCCUAGAAAGAAGAAGUAAAGACAGAGACACAGAUGGAUUGUCAAAACAGAAAGUAGAUUCACUACACACCAAUAAUGAUGUUGAAAGGUUGAAUUCCAAGUCCCCGGCAGAAGAUAAACAACCAGAAGAGAGUAUGCCAGAAGCUAAGGAAAAUUCUUCUGCUGAUAAGGUUGAUGAGAAUACAAAGCUGAGUGAUAACAAUGGGCUCAGUGAAGAUGUAGACGUCAGAAUGUCAGAGGAGGAACAGGAAACAGGGGAGAACAAAGCAAGGAAUGAUGAAAUUUCAAAUGGUAAAGAUGAAAGCAAGAAAAUGAAUCAAAAUAGUUACAGCUACUCAAGGGAGAUAACUAACUUGGAAGCAUUUGACAAAGAACCGUAACUCUUCCAUCAGCUACAGCAAAUUUCAUGUAACAAACCACCACUCAAGUUCUGAUAGCUGCAACUUAUGACUUGUCAAUCCACUUAAGGACACACCUUCACAAAGAGGAUUAACCAAUCAGAAACUGUUUUACUUGGAACAAGGAGGAGAAAGUGAAGCAUCAUGGGAGGGACAAAUUUGACAGGAUUGGAAGUCGAGCAGACAGCCCAAACUCAGAAGGUUCUGAGGAUUGAACUCACUCGCACCAAGAGGGCAAGAUCUAGCCAGUCAAAUGCCAGGCUGUAAUUGUCAAUCAGAAAUCAUAUUACAGCAAUCAUUGAUGACAAAUCAAAGUCUCAGAUAAUUUAUUUUAAUCACACUUUGAAUUAUACCAUGAUACAAUGUUAAAAAUAAUGUCUGUGUUUUAGUUACACUCCAACACACAUGUUGUCUGUUACAAGUAUUAAUGUUGAAAUUUUACAUUUACUGUAACUUUUCAUAAAUCAUUUUUCAAAAAUAUAUAUUGCCAAUAACACAUUGAUUUAAACCUGAUUUGAUUGUCUCAAGAUAUAUCAGUAUUGGCAUCAGUUAGCUUUAAUUUAGAUCGAGGUUUUUGUGAUUUUUCUAGAUUUGGGCUUGGGUUGUGAAAAUUUUAUGAUAUUAAAAUAAACAAUAUAAUGGUCAUGUGAGGUAUUUCUGCAAUAUUCACUUUCUUUUUCAAGAUGUCAUGUGAGUUUCCUUUCAUAUAAAAAGAGUAUAAGACAUAUAUGUACAACGUACCCUAAUAAUUGUUCUUUAGUACAGGAUAUUGAGGAUGAUCGGGGUCUCUUAUUUCUUGACAAAUGAAAAUAACCAAGUAGGUACAUACGAUAGGGGAUUAAAAUGGAGGGGGGGGGGGGCAGAAAAGAGGGAGAAUAUAAUGCUGAACACUAUUGUCCCAUACAUAUACAUGUAUUUGCAGUCAUAUAAUUGUUCCAUACACAGUAAGUGCUUAUUAUGACAAAUUAUGAUUUUUUUGCAAUAAUAUUACUUCAUAUACAUUUUUUCGUAGUCAUUAGAAAUUUAUUUAUUGAAAAUAAUAUUUUUGUUGUAGAUAGACAAAUAAUACAUAGUUUAUGCAAUUAGGAUAAACACAAACAAACAGAAAAAAUUAAAAUAGCAUAUUUGCGAAUAUGUAAUACAGUGGGGCCUCUUGUAUUCAGAUUUUCCUUGCAUGUUCUUUACCUUCCAGACCAAGUGGAUGGGAAAUAAUUUAUCCAAGAAUGAUGGUAGAUAUGAUGCUGAUUUACUUAUCUGGAUUCUUUGUUAAUCUGCAUACCCGGGCAAAUUAUUUGAAGGAAAAAAUUUUCUUGAUGAAUGAAGCGCCACUAAGUAACCAUGAAAUGUGUGCAAUAUCAGCUAGUGCAAGUAGAAAUUGAUAUAGAACUGUGUCUCUUUCAGAUUUUUGUUAGUUUGUUAACUGUCUUGUGUUUCUAUGCAAGAAUCCCCUAACAAACUUUAUUGUUAUCUCAGUAUAUGUAAUGAAUAUACAUUUUUGUGGGCUACAUCUACUCAGUAUCUAAAGAUGCGGGAAAAUUUACAGACUUUUGCUUUUCAAUAUUUUGCAGUCCCAAUGGAAAAUACGAUAGGCUAUAGAAAAUGUUGCUUUGAAAAGUAUUUGUUUUUAUCUAUAAAUUACAUGUAUUGUAAAAUGGUUGUGUUUUGAGUGAUGUAGGAUUUUUAUUUAUGAAGAUAUUCAAUGAUGUGUUCAGCCUCUCCAAUGAACCAGUGCACGUUUUUGCUUGCUUCUAUAGAUUGUGUUCAUUGUUUACCACUAUAAAAGGUUCAAAGGGAUUAACAAAAUUAAUCUUUAGUAUUUAAGGUCAAAAAUAAAAUAAAUUAGAAUAAAAGAUUAAAAAUAAUGCUGCUGGCAUAUUCUUUCUGCCAAGAUCUACAAAGGGAAAUAACUCUUCAUUUUGAAAAAGUUAUCCUUCUUUUGAUUGUUUUGUUGCUGCAUCAUUUGACCUGGUGCAGUGGGGCUUGAAAGCUUGGCCAAAAUGAAGAUAAAACCACUACCACUAAAUGGAGUUCAUAAGUGUUAAUAUAUACCGGUACUCAUGUGUAUAAGCUAGGAAACAUAUAAUUCAUCACUUCUAUGCAUUGAUAUUUAUGAAUAAUUCUUGUUUGUUAUCAAAAUUUUUACUCUUGUUUAUUAUGAUGCCAUACUAAAUGGAAACAUUCCACUGUUAAAAUUGCCAUAUUUUACCCUUCUUAUAUAAUGUUCAUGUAUGCAUGAAUUAUGAUUUGAAUCUUCUGAUCUGUUUACCUGCUUUACAGAAAUAUUGGUAUACACGUACAUAUAUUAAUUGAUAUGUUUUAUAGGGGGUAAUUGUGGUCAAGUCUACAAUGAUGGUAUUAGUUUAGGGUAAUAUACAGCAGCUUCUUAUAAACCUACAAAUAUAAACAUUGUAUGAAUAUGUAUGUAAUAGUAUUAGAUGGGCUAUAGGGUACAUCUAUUGGAUCAAUGUGCUUCUCCGAGACUCUCAAAAUUCUCUAAGGUCCAAAAUCUGAAAAUCAAAAUUAAGGCAGUUACUUCAAUCCAUUUAUAGUCUGAUCGAUGAUUUCAUAAUUAAAGUUUCAACAGUCAAGUUUCUUCAUGCAUUUUUUUUUUUUUCAUUUUGUUAAGGUGGCUUACUACACCUUGAAAUAUUUUCUCAUAUCAGCAGAAAAUUACUUGAUUUUGAUAGAUAUCAUUAUGGAUAGGCAGUAUUUAAUGUGCAAUUUUGAAUGAAAAAUUACAUUUUCGAAAAUUUAAUUCAGUAAAUAUGAACAUUUAAGCUCCAGGCGGAUUCGAAUUCAUGAUCUGCAGUUCAGAAGCCUAAUACUAGUACUUUAACCACUGACCUACGACGAUAUACAACGCAAUUGAACAAUGUAAACAGUUUAAUUUACAAAACAUAUAAAUCACCAUCUUGUCACGUAGUGUCUUAAAAAGUAUAAGUCUAGGUUUAGUAAGGUACCUUAAUUGGCACUCGUUUCAGGAUGAUAGAAAACUGAGUUGUAAGCCAUAAGGUAGUCCAUGCAAAAAAAAAUUACACUGUUGUAGGAAAUUUUGAUUACCCCAUUUUGUAUGAAUUGAAGUACAUGUACUGUUUUUCAAUUAAAAUCUGUUUAUGUCACAUGACAUGUAUUAUGAUUCUAUGCAAUAGGAGUGAUUAUAUUGUUACAUGGUAUACUAUGCAGAUUCUAUUGUUCAAUAUUGGAACAUUUUAUUUUUGAUUUACAAAUGAAAUUUGUCUGUAGAUUUAAAAUACUUAAUUUUAUGAAUAAAUCUUUAUUAAUUUAAA